rnacentral:rRNA from 1 species
UCACAAUGGACGAAAGUCUGAUGGAGCAACGCCGCGUGAGUGAAGAAGGUUUUCGGAUCGUAAAACUCUGUUGUUGGAGAAGAACGUAUUUGAUAGUAACUGAUCAGGUAGUGACGGUAUCCAACCAGAAAGCCACGGCUAACUACGUGCCAGCAGCCGCGGUAAUACGUAGGUGGCAAGCGUUGUCCGGAUUUAUUGGGCGUAAAGCGAGCGCAGGCGGUUUCUUAAGUCUGAUGUGAAAGCCUUCGGCUCAACCGAAGAAGUGCAUCGGAAACUGGGAAACUUGAGUGCAGAAGAGGACAGUGGAACUCCAUGUGUAGCGGUGAAAUGCGUAGAUAUAUGGAAGAACACCAGUGGCGAAGGCGGCUGUCUGGUCUGUAACUGACGCUGAGGCUCGAAAGCAUGGGUAGCAAACAGGAUUAGAUACCCUGGUAGUCCAUGCCGUAAACGAUGAGUGCUAGGUGUUGGAGGGUUUCCGCCCUUCAGUGCCGCAGCUAACGCAUUAAGCACUCCGCCUGGGGAGUACGACCGCAAGGUUGAAACUCAAAGGAAUUGACGGGGCC